rnacentral:rRNA from 1 species
UACGGGGGGGGGCAAGCGUUGUUCGGAAUUACUGGGCGUAAAGGGCUCGUAGGCGGCCAACUAAGUCAGACGUGAAAUCCCUCGGCUUAACCGGGGAACUGCGUCUGAUACUGGAUGGCUUGAGAUUGGGAGAGGGAUGCGGAAUUCCAGGUGUAGCGGUGAAAUGCGUAGAUAUCUGGAGGAACACCGGUGGCGAAGGCGGCAUCCUGGACCAACACUGACACUGAGGAGCGAAAGCCAGGGGAGCAAACGGG